rfam:Cephalotus follicularis DNA, scaffold: scaffold3411, isolate: St1.
AGUUGCGAUCAUACCAGCACUAAUGCACCGGAUUCCAUUGGAACUCCGAAGUUAAGCGUGCUUGGGCGGGAAUAGUACUAAGAUGGGCUUUGUCGCAGGACUUCCACAGGCACAGGCA